rnacentral:rRNA from 1 species
AAUGGGGGCAACCCUGAUCCAGCCAUGCCGCGUGAGUGAAGAAGGCCCUCGGGUUGUAAAGCUCUUUUGUACNGAAAGAAAAGCAUUCGGUGAAUACCCGGAUGUUCUGACGGUACCGGAAGAAUAAGCACCGGCUAACAUCGUGCCAGCAGCCGCGGUAAUACGAAGGGUGCAAGCGUUACUCGGAAUUACUGGGCGUAAAGCGUGCGUAGGUGGGUGUUUAAGUCUGAUGUGAAAGCCCUGGGCUCAACCUGGGAAUGGCAUUGGAAACUGGGCAGCGAGAGUGCGGUAGAGGGUAGUGGAAUUCCCGGUGUAGCAGUGAACUGCGUAGAGAUCGGGAGGAACAUCUGUGGCGAAGGCGCCUGCCUGGACCAGCACUGACACU